AGGCUGACACUAGGGACUAUUGUGGGUAUUUCUAAUACCAGGUUUUUGUCAUACUUUGUUAAUACCCACCCUGAAGGUCCAGCUACUUGGGAAAGUAUAAAGAAAUCAUCUACCUGAAGAGAGGGUUAGAGAAUAUAUGUUGAUGCAUCUUGAAGUAUUAUCGCCUUUGAGUUUGACUGAAGCGUUUGUUCAUCAGUAUAGUGAUAUAAAUGCCCACAAAUGGAACAAGGAAAGACUUGGUUCAAAGCGGAAAGAACAGAGAUCCUCCUGGAGUAUAUAGCUAAUGUUGAUGCACUACUAAACUCAAUGAAGUGGUUCUUCGUCUGGACUGAAAAGCUCAACAAAUUGUUAUCAACCUAUUGACCUGUGCUCUUUCGAUACCAUUUCUUCUGUGGCUACUGAGAGGAGGAAAGGUACACAUCAUGAUGCCAACUUGAAACACUUUCUUUGUUGAAAGAGACCAAAGAAACCAGCUAAUAACUAUUUACUGGGACAUACCUGCCACAGUUCUUGUCCAGGAUGCAUUAUUACAGGUUAUUUAGACAAUUUGGUUUUGUACUCUAUUAUUGUCCUCCAUUAGUCCAUGUCUUCCAACUAUGUAAUGAUAGCUAUGACAAGUGAUCAUGUCUCUCAUCUAUGCUUUAUGGUAUUCCUUGUUUUGAUUUAGUUUCAGGUAUCUGAAGAGUCUCUUGUAUAGUCUGAAACUGAAAGUAUAUACCAAAAUAUUAAAAUCAAAAGGUUGCAUACUUGCAUGUAGUUAGAAUGUUUUGGGUUAGUAAGUAAUUUUACUGUUGUAAGACUAACUACCCAUCCCUCUUUUAUUUAAACUGAACCUAAAGUAUCUAAACAACAACCAAAACAAAAAAAAAAACUUUUUUCAAAGAUAUCAAACCACAUUGAACUUAUACUACAGUUUCAUGUUGAGUUCUUCAGACCAUCUCUUAUAGAAGACGAAGAAGAAGGCGAGGAAGAAGCAGAAAGACAAGACCGUGCAAUCUUAGACUCUUUGUCUUUGCUAUACGCCUUUUGGACAUCAUCCUUAAGCUCUCUAUAUCUCAUUCUUUUCAAUCUUCUCUCCUGUGGAGAUCCCUUCUCAAUCUGUAGAUCAUCUAGAAUGUCGUCGUCUAUGUACUCCUCCAUGUACUUAUCUAGAACUCCAGAUCCAUAUGGAAAGUACCUACGACCGGUCUCAACUGCAUUGUGAAACGAGUAAUGAAGUCAGCCAAGAGAAAAGAACAAAAGAAGAGUGAAGAUUGACCGUUAGAUGUUUCCAAAGUGGUAGAUUUGUCUGCGGGGGUGAUGAGUCUUCUUUAAGACACUGGUCUCAGUCACCCACACGCGUUUUCGGGAACCGGGUUUCGCGAGCUAUGAAGAACGAAGCUCAAAAGGCUCUCUUUGAUUACUUGCAUCACACUAGAACUCUCAGCUUUGUCGAUGCAGAGCAUAUAAGUCACAACUCCCCUCGGUUCAUCUCCUCUUUGUUGUCCAAGGUGGAUACUAGGAAAGAGGAUAUAUCUCAGUCUUUGACUAAGUUUCUGAGGUACAAUCCCAUCAACGAGUUUGAACCCUUUUUCGAGAGUCUUGGUCUGCGUCCUUCUGAGAUCUCUCGGUUUCUCCAACGGGACCUUGUGCUUUUGAGUGAUGACAGUGUCCUCUUUGAGAAUUUUCAUGUUCUUUGCAACUAUGGGAUUCCUCGUAGCAAGAUUGGUUGUGUGUAUAAAGAAGCAAGAGAGGUUUUCGGAUACGAGAAUGGGAUUUUGUUGUCGAAACUUGAAGCUUAUGAGAGAUUGGGUCUUGGGAAGCCUAUAGUCAUUAAGGUUGUAACUUAUUGCCCCUCGCUUCUGGUCGGUGGUAUUGAUAGUGAGUUUGUUGCUGUGGUUGGUAAGUUAAAGGAUUUAGAUAUGGCAUGUGAUUGGCUUGGGAAGUAUUUGUCUGAUAGAAAAACAUAUAACUGGGGGAGUGUUCUUGAGACUAUGGAGCUUCUUGAGAAGAUGGGGUUCAAAGAGGAGAAGCUGAGUGGUCUUUUGAAAACAUAUCCAGAUUUGGUGGGUGAAACUUCUGGGAAGAAAGCUUAUGUUAUGUUUGAUAAGUUGCUUAAAGUGGGACUUCAGAUGAAUGAAAUCGAUAAGUUAGUGAGAGACCACCCAGAGAUGUUACUUGAGAAGUCUGCAAAAAGCAUUUUGGCGGCUUUGAAGUACAUGAUGCGUAUCAGAAUGGAAAAGGAGUUUAUCGUUAGUAUUUUACAGCAACACAUGAAGCUUAUCUGUUCAUCUUCUCUGCUAGGACCAAAGGCUGUUUGCAGUAAACUGAAGAUCAGAAGAGAAGAGUUACAUCGGAUCAUUAAGGAAGAGCCUUUGAAACUGUUCAGUUUAGCUUCUAAAACAACAAACAGAAGGAUCGAACUUGAUUCUUUAGAUUUUAGGAACGCUGAGAAGAGAGCCUUCUUGUUGAAGAUAGGAUAUGUAGAGAACUCCGAUGAGAUGGUGAGUGCUCUGAAGAAGUUCCAAGGGAGGGGAGAUGAGCUACAAGAGAGAUUUGAUUGCCUUGUGAAAGCUGGUUUGGAUUAUAAUGUGGUUACAGAGGUUGUUAAGAGGGCUCCUCAUAUACUCAGCAGACCUAAAGAUGUCAUUGAGAAGAAGAUCAACCUUCUAAAAGAUUAUUUAGGCUAUCCAGUGGAAUCUCUUGUAGAGUCACCUACGUAUUUGUGUUAUAGUAUGGAGAGAAUAAAUCAUAGAUUCUCAAUGUAUAUUUGGCUGAGGGAAAGAGAUGCAGUGGUGCCGAGGCUGACACUAGGGACUAUUGUGGGUAUUUCUAAUACCAGGUUUUUGUCAUACUUUGUUAAUUCCCACCCUGAAGGUCCAGCUACUUGGGAAAGUAUAAAGAAAUCAUCUACCUGAAGAGAGGGUUAGAGAAUAUAUGUUGAUGCAUCUUGAAGUAUUAUCGCCUUUGAGUUUGACUGAAGCGUUUGUUCAUCAGUAUAGUGAUAUAAAUGCCCACAAAUGGAACAAGGAAAGACUU
rnacentral:lncRNA from 1 species